AUUGAACGCUGGCGGCAGGCCUAACACAUGCAAGUCGAGCGGAUGAAGGGAGCUUGCUCCUAGAUUCAGCGGCGGACGGGUGAGUAAUGCCUAGGAAUCUGCCUGGUAGUGGGGGAUAACGUCCGGAAACGGGCGCUAAUACCGCAUACGUCCUGAGGGAGAAAGUGGGAGAUCUUCGGACCUCACGCUAUCAGAUGAGCCUAGGUCGGAUUAGCUAGUUGGUGGGGUAAAGGCCUACCAAGGCGACGAUCCGUAACUGGUCUGAGAGGAUGAUCAGUCACACUGGAGCUGAGACACGGUCCAGACUCCUACGGGAGGCAGCAGUGGGGAAUAUUGGACAAUGGGCGAAAGCCUGAUCCAGCCAUGCCGCGUGUGUGAAGAAGGUCUUCGGAUUGUAAAGCACUUUAAGUUGGGAGGAAGGGCAGUAAGUUAAUACCUUGCUGUUUUGACGUUACCAACAGAAUAAGCACCGGCUAACUUCGUG
rnacentral:rRNA from 1 species